rnacentral:lncRNA from 1 species
UUUUGUUAGGUUGUUUAUUUUAUUUUUUUCUUAUGAUGAAGUUAGUUAAAGAAAUGUCUCAUUUAUACUAUUUUUUAGAUUUUUUAAUAUGCAGUAUGUUUCUUACAAAGAAAUGAACUAGAUUAACUAAAUGGACUAGAUUUACCAACUGACUGACAUGACAUGUUAUCAUAUAUUAUGUUUGUGGAUCAAAGUUACACAUUCGUUAUUUUCGAAAGUGAUUCACACUUGGCCGUUUUCAGAUUUUUACUUUACUUUGACUAAAUACAAACCUUUGUACCAUUCGAAGAUAUAUUAUAUAAAUAUAGAUAAAUUUAGUUCGUUUUAGUUCCUUAGGGGUAUAAAUUUACACCGGGUAUAAAACACCUUCAUUAUUUUGAAACCGACUCACACUUGGCCAUUUUCAGAUUUUUCCCUUUACUUUGACAUAAAGACCUACCUCCAUGCCAAAUUUCAAGUCAAUACGACCAUUGGAAGUGGUCUAGGUUUUUGAUGAGUGAGUCAGUGAAUCAGUCAGUCAGUGAGUGUAUAGUAAAAAUAGCGAUUUUCUGACGUCAAUAUCUCAAGACCUACAAUAGGUAUAUUAAUGAAAUUUUGUAUUUUAGAUAAGUGAAGGGGUCUCAACAGAUACUAGAAAUUUGAUAUGCGUAAAUAAAAUAGAUUUUGAGUUACAGGGGGGUCGAAUUUGGCCUGAAAUGGUU